UACGUAGGGGGCAAGCGUUGUCCGGAUUUAUUGGGCGUAAAGAGCGUGUAGGCGGUCAGGUAGGUCCGUUGUGAAAACUCGAGGCUCAACCUCGAGACGCCGAUGGAAACCAUCUGACUAGAGUCCGGAAGAGGAGAGUGGAAUUCCUGGUGUAGCGGUGAAAUGCGCAGAUAUCAGGAAGAACACCCGUGGCUAAGGCGGCUCUCUAGUACGGUACUGACGCUGAGACGCGAAAGCAUGGGGAGCGAACAGG
rnacentral:rRNA from 1 species